rnacentral:rRNA from 1 species
CGCCAGUGUUGGUGGAGCCAUCCUUGAAAUACCACCCUUGUAUGUUUGAUGUUCUAACACUGACCCGUUAUCCGGGUUGUGGACAGUGUCUGGUGGGUAGUUUGACUGGGGCGGUCUCCUCCCAAAUAGUAACGGAGGAGCACGAAGGUUAGCUAAUCACGGUCGGACAUCGUGAGGUUAGUGCAAUGGCAUAAGCUAGCUUAACUGCGAGACAGACACGUCGAGCAGAUACGAAAGUAGGUCAUAGUGAUCCGGUGGUUCUGAAUGGAAGGGCCAUCGCUCAACGGAUAAAAGGUACUCCGGGGAUAACAGGCUGAU